rnacentral:rRNA from 1 species
AUUGAACGCUGGCGGCAGGCCUAACGCAUGCAAGUCGAACGGUAACAGGAAGAAGCUUGCUUCUUUGCUGACGAGUGGCGGACGGGUGAGUAAUGUCUGGGAAACUCCUUGAUGGAGGGGGAUAACUACUGGAAACGGUAGCUAAUACCGCAUAACUUCGCAAGACCAAAGAGGGGGACCUUCGGGCCUCUUGCCAUCGGAUGUGCCCAGAUGGGAUUAGCUAGUAGGUGGGGUAACGGUUCACCUAGGCGGCGAUCCCUAGCCGGUCUGAGAGGAUGACCGGCCACACGGGAACUGAGACACGGUCCAGACUCCUACGGGAGGCAGCAGUGGGGAAUAUUGCACAAUGGGCGCAAGCCUGAUGCAGCCAUGCCGCGUGUAUGAAGAAGGCCUUCGGGUUGUAAAGUACUUUCAGCGGGGAGGAAGGGAGUAAAGUUAAUACCUUUGCUCAUUGACGUUACCCGCAGAAGAAGCACCGGCUAACUACGUG